rnacentral:lncRNA from 1 species
AGACAAUUAGUGCCCACCUGUGAAGUUCUGGGCACCUGACAAAGGCGAGCUCAGCUACAGGCUUCUGCCUCUCAGCAAGGUUCUAUUUUACUUUCGGCCUCCAGGCCGAUGCUUGGCACUGCACUUUGAGUGUGGGGAAGAUGGCUGGACCACAAUGCCCUUGGCAUGUAUCAGUGGCAUUUACGUGCUUCGCUUACCCCUUCUGACAGUCCUGAGAGGCACGCUUUACACCCACCCAUCCUUUACAGAUGAGCCAUGAGAGGAGUUUAGCAAGGUAAGGUAAGCUGAGUGUCUCUAGACAGCCCCACCCUAGCCUGUGCGGUUUCCACCUCUGUGGAGAGAAGCCUCGCUGGGCUUCUGAACCCUGGCUGUUUCGUUAGCUUCCUACACAGCUGCCGGAGGAAUUCCUUCACAGCUUGAGGACUCCACACUGCUGCCGGCCUGGGAUUCUAUGUUGCAUAGCUGUAGAUGCUGUUGGUCCUCUGGGAACGGUAAAGCUCCAAGAACUGGUGCCACGGGUUUGUUUGUAAGGAAAUCCUGAAGACUGACGUGUAGCUCUCCAUCUUUGAACUUAUAAUCCCGCUUGUGGCUUCAGAGUUCUGGGAUCACUCCUGUGGAUCACAUUAACCCAAGACAACACCCACC